rnacentral:tRNA from 1 species
ACUGGAUUGGCCGAGUGGUUAAGGCGUUGGACUUAAGUUCCAAUGGACAAGUGGUCCGCGUGGGGUUCGAACCCCACACCCAGUA